AGAAGGGAGCUCCGUUGAAGUAGUUUGCGCCUUAUAAAUAUUUACUGAUUAAAACAAAAAGGAAAAUUUAAGGACAUCCAGGCGAUUUGAAUUCAAUAAAAUUUUGAUGCUAUU